CCUACGGGAGGCAGCAGUGAGGAAUAUUGGUCAAUGGUCGGGCGACUGAACCAGCCAAGCCGCGUGAGGGAUGAAGGUACAGAGUAUCGUAAACCUCUUUUGUCAGGGAACAAAGUCGGGGACGUGUCCCCGGAUGAGUGUACCUGAAGAGAAAGAAUCGGCUAACUCCGUGCCAGCAGCCGCGGUAAUACGGAGGAUGCGAGCGUUAUCCGGAUUUAUUUGGUUUAAAGGGUGCGCAGGCGGUCUGUUAAGUCAGCGGUGACAGCCCGGGGCUCAACCCCGGCCCGCCGUUGAAACUGGCAGUCUCGAGUUGGAGAGAAGUAUGCGGAAUGCGCGGUGUAGCGGUGAAAUGCAUAGAUAUCGCGCAGAACUCCGAUUGCGAAGGCAGCAUGCCGGCUCCACACUGACGCUGAGGCACGAAAGCGUGGGUAUCGAACAGGAUUAGAUACCCUUGUAGUC
rnacentral:rRNA from 1 species